GAUGAAGAACGUAGCGAAAUGCGAUAAGUAAUGCGAAUUGCAGAAUCCGUGAAUCAUCGAAUCUUUGAACGCACAUUGCGCCCCCUGGCAUUCCGGGGGGCAUGCCUGUUCGAGCGUCAUUACAACCCUCAAGCUCUGCUUGGUAUUGGGCUCUGCUGGGACCGGCAGGCCUUAAAAUCAGUGGCGGCGCCACUCGGCUUCAAGCGUAGUAAUUCUUCUCGCUUCGGAGACCCGGGUGCGUGCUAGCCAGCAACCCCCAACUUUCUUAGGUUGACCUCGGAUCAGGUAGGGAUACCCGCUGAACUUAAGCAUAUCAAUAAGCGGAGGA
rnacentral:misc_RNA from 1 species